GGUGACACACUCGGUCAGCCAUCUCGAGGACGUCUCAGGUAUGGGCUUGUUAAUUGCAGACGUUAAAAUGUUACCCAUGUUGCGGAAGCUGGAAAGGAAUCAAACGGAAACUUUCAGGAUGUGGCUGUAUCCUGUGACUAACAAUGAAGGGAGAUCAGGGGGCAUGCAUGUGGAAAUGAUGGAUCUGCAUCACACAAUGAAGGGAUUCGCAUCACAUAAUCAAGGGAGAUCAAAUGGUAUGUGGGCAUAAAUUGAUAUGUACUCCCUCCGUUCCUAAAUAUAAGUCUUUUUAGAUAUUCUAAUAUGAACUAUAUAUUGAGCAAAAUGAGUGAAUCUACACUCUAAAAUACAUCUAUAUACAUCCGUAUGUAGUUCAUAUUGAAAUCUUUAAAAAGACUUAUAUUUAGGAACAGAGGGAGUCUCACAUAAUUCAGCAAUUUGCAUCAUAAUUAAUGUAUUGGGCAUGACUAGAGGCGGAGACAAAAUUUGAGCCUAGGGGGUGAAAAAGGCAAUAACUAUCGUACAAACAAUAUAACAAAAUAGUAUAACUGUACCAAACUUUAACAGUAUGCUGUUUUGCAAUUUUAAGGCAACCUACAGUUUUUUUUUUCUUGUUCAAGCGUAGCUCUACGCAUGAAUCUACUUGUUACUUGCUGGCGGUGUAUUUCUCAUCUUAAAUUCUUGAUGCCGAACAGAACUGAAGAGUACAUAUACAUUACUUUCAAUUAAUCUCCGGUCUUAUGCAAUCCCAUGUUAAUACGAAAUAAGCAUGUAAACUGCAGUUGAUCUAACACAAAUUCUUACUCUAGCUGCAAUGUUAAUCUAUAUACUGUAGUAUUGAGUACUGUACCUUUUAGGUCUCAGGUUCGUGGUGAGCCGUGGCGCUGUGAAGUCGGAGGAGAUGUUGAGCAGCGGGCCGGCGAUGACUGCAAGCGACGGCUGGAAGAAGAAGAAGCCCUAGCGGCGGUAGCGAUGGACGAGUUGUUGGAGACGAAAAGGAGCGGACGCAAGAGGCGCUCUAGCUAGGUCAAUGCGCCAAUACAUCACCCUACUACUAAUUCUCGUGGUUGGUGGGGCUUGUUGUUUCGAGCUUUUCUGGGCCACCACGUUGGGCACCCAUCUUUCCUUAGCCAACCGGGUAGUAAUUAAAAUCUAUAUAUGGAAUAUAAUUGCGAGGCGUCCUGCGCCGGGUUGUGUUUCUGGCGCCUGCAUGCGAGUUUGCGGGCUCAAUCCUGUAAGCCCACUCAGUUCUGUUGGUUGGAGACCCAAUGUGACGACCCGAACUGGCGUCGCGAAAGCAAAGAAUGGUUCAGCUAACCAAUACAGAUUAUGAACUAUUGUUGUUGAAAGCAACGCGAACUCUUUAAUAACUUA
rnacentral:lncRNA from 1 species